rnacentral:rRNA from 1 species
GACGAACGCUGGCGGCGCGCUUAACACAUGCAAGUCGAACGGAAAGGCCUGCUUUCCCUUGUGGAUUGCGGGUACUCGAGUGGCGAACGGGUGAGUAACACGUGAGUGAUCUGCCCCCAACUUGGGUAUAAGCCUGGGAAACUGGGUCUAAUUCCCGAUAGGACUGCAGGGUGGUGCCUGUGGUGGAAAACGAUUUUCUAGUGGUUGGGGAUGAGCUCGCGGCCUAUCAGCUUGUUGGUGGGGUAAUGGCCUACCAAGGCGGCGACGGGUAGCCGGCCUGAGAGGGUGGACGGCCACAUUGGGACUGAGAUACGGCCCAGACUCCUACGGGAGGCAGCAGUGGGGAAUAUUGCACAACGGGCGGAAGCCUGAUGCAGCGACGCCGCGUGGGGGAUGACGGCCUUCGGGUGGUAAACUCCUUUCGACCGCGAGGAAGCCACCUGGUUGGAAGGGUGGUGACGGUAGUGGUAGAAGAAGCACCGGCUAACUACGUG